rnacentral:rRNA from 1 species
AUUGAACGCUGGCGGCAUGCCUUACACAUGCAAGUCGAACGGUAACGGGCCUUCGGGUGCCGACGAGUGGCGAACGGGUGAGUAAUACAUCGGAACGUGCCCGAUCGUGGGGGAUAACGAGGCGAAAGCUUUGCUAAUACCGCAUACGAUCUACGGAUGAAAGCCGGGGACCGCAAGGCCUUGCGCGGACGGAGCGGCCGAUGGCAGAUUAGGUAGUUGGUGGGAUAAAAGCUUACCAAGCCGACGAUCUGUAGCUGGUCUGAGAGGAUGAUCAGCCACACUGGGACUGAGACACGGCCCAGACUCCUACGGGAGGCAGCAGUGGGGAAUUUUGGACAAUGGGCGCAAGCCUGAUCCAGCCAUGCCGCGUGCAGGAUGAAGGCCUUCGGGUUGUAAACUGCUUUUGUACGGAACGAAAAGCCUUCCUUUAAUACAGGAGGGUCAUGACGGUACCGUAAGAAUAAGCACCGGCUAACUACGUG